rnacentral:tRNA from 1 species
UUAAUCGAAACCAAAACAGAGGUAUAUUACUGUUAAUAAUAUAAUUGAAUAUCAAUAUUCCGAUUAAG